GUAUCGAAUUUAAGCCAUGCUAGUCGUACGAGUUCACACUCGUGGCGAAUAGCUCAGUAACACGUGGCCAAACUACCCUUCGGAGUUCAAUACCCUCGGGAAACUGAGGUUAAUAGAGCAUACCAUACCACCACUGGAAUGAGUGGUAUGCCAAACGCUCCGGCGCCGAAGGAUGUGGCUGCGGCCGAUUAGGUAGACGGUGGGGUAACGGCCCACCGUGCCAAUAAUCGGUAUGGGUCAUGAGAGUGAGAACCCAGAGACGGAAUCUGAGACAAGAUUCCGGGCCCUACGGGGCGCAGCAGGCGCGAAACCUUUACACUGCACGACAGUGCGAUAGGGGGAUCCCAAGUGCACAGGCAUAGCGCCUGUGCUUUUCGACACCCUAAGGCGGUGUCAGAAUAAGGGCUGGGCAAGACCGGUGCCAGCCGCCGCGGUAAUACCGGCAGCCCAAGUGAUGGCCGAUCUUAUUGGGCCUAAAGCGUCCGUAGCUGGCCACGCAAGUCCAUCGGGAAAUCCACCUGCCCAACAGGUGGGCGCCCGGUAGAAACUGCGUGGCUUGGGACCGGAAGGCGCGACGGGUACGUCCGGGGUAGGAGUGAAAUCCCGUAAUCCUGGACGGACCGCCGAUGGCGAAAGCACGUCGCGAGAACGGAUCCGACAGUGAGGGACGAAAGCCAGGGUCUCGAACCGGAUUAGAUAC
rnacentral:rRNA from 1 species